rnacentral:rRNA from 1 species
GACGUAGGGCGCGAGCGUUGUCCGGAUUUAUUGGGCGUAAAGAGCUCGUAGGCGGCUUGUCGCGUCGACUGUGAAAACCCGCGGCUCAACUGCGGGCUUGCAGUCGAUACGGGCAGGCUAGAGUUCGGUAGGGGAGACUGGAAUUCCUGGUGUAGCGGUGAAAUGCGCAGAUAUCAGGAGGAACACCGAUGGCGAAGGCAGGUCUCUGGGCAUUAACUGACGCUGAGGAGCGAAAGCAUGGGGAGCGAACAGG